CCUUUCGUAGCUUAGUUGUCGGAGCAUUGAUACGUAAAGCCAAAGGUCCCGAGUUCGAUUCCCGGCGAGGA
rfam:Agrilus planipennis Contig56110, whole genome shotgun sequence.